AAGUCUCGUUUACUUUCACUUUCGAUUUACCACUUCCGGGUACAUCGGCAGACUUAUUUACCGUUACGCAUAUAGGUAACCCGAAGAACUCGAGGGAUAUAGAAGUUAAAUUUGUUUUGGUCCUCUUCAGAUUUGAAGGAAUGGAAGCACGGGUCAAAAAAUGCAGAUGUGUAGACAGGGGGUAUAUGACAAGUAUAGAAUAUACAGUUGUUCACUAUGGACCAUUAAUCAAUAGUUUGCACUGCCUAUGAUCCUGAAAUAUCUAUACAACAAAGAUAAAAAGGAAAAAUAUGAAGGAGAAUUUGUUCAUGAAGACCUUUAUUGCAACUACCAUCUUCAAGUGCCUUAAUUUGAGAAUGAUAUCAGAGAACACACAGUUACAGUGAAAUAUUAGUUUAAUAUAAGCCACUGAGAAUAGUCAAAUGUACUUUCCUGAAGAAGAUGAAUGACAUGCAGCACAAAAAUCUUGAUGUAAAAGAGUAUGUGUUUUAUGGUGUUUGACACUAUGAUUCCAUAAUGUAGUUAUCUUGUUAAUGUCACAAUGAUAGAAACAGAGUAAAAUAUCCACAUUUCAUUGCAGUUUUAAGUAUUAAAACUAGAUGUUCUAUAAAUACCAAAGUAGAAAACACACCAGAGAUAAGGAUUUUCAUGGAAUCACAGUAGAGUCAUAUGCCAUUAUGGACAUUAAAUGAUAAUGAAGUAAAGAUGAAAAAGAAAUAGCAAAAAUAUUAUAUAUCAUCUACAACUAAUAUUGUGAGGUAAUCAUUUUACGGCUGCCAC